GGCGGCGCAAAGCACCGUAGGCCUCGAGGGGCGCGGCGCGCUCAAGACGCCCCUUGAAGUGAAGGGGGAGAUGAUCCUCACGCCCGGGGCUCCUCAUAACGGCCCCCGGCCUCCCAGGCGGCAGCCUCGGGUCGAGAGGAUCAUGUAGGUAAGGGAAGUCGGCAAAAGAGAUCCGCAACUUCGGGGAAAGGGUUGGCUCGAAGGGCUGGGCCAGGGUCUCCUCU
rnacentral:rRNA from 1 species